ACGGGAGGCAGCAGUGGGGAAUAUUGCACAAUGGGGGAAACCCUGAUGCAGCGACGCCGCGUGAGUGAUGAAGUAUUUCGGUAUGUAAAGCUCUAUCAGCAGGGAAGAUAAUGACGGUACCUGACUAAGAAGCACCGGCUAAAUACGUGCCAGCAGCCGCGGUAAUACGUAUGGUGCAAGCGUUAUCCGGAUUUACUGGGUGUAAAGGGAGCGUAGGCGGUACGGCAAGUCUGAAGUGAAAUCCCAGGGCUCAACCUUGGAACUGCUUUGGAAACUGUCGAACUAGAGUGUCGGAGAGGUAAGUGGAAUUUCUAGUGUAGCGGUGAAAUGCGUAGAUAUUAGGAGGAACACCAGUGGCGAAGGCGGCUUACUGGACGAUUACUGACGCUGAGGCUCGAAAGCGUGGGGAGCAAACAGGAUUAGAUACCCUGGUA
rnacentral:rRNA from 1 species